rnacentral:misc_RNA from 1 species
GAUAAGACUGAGAUCACCUGGAAAUGAAGCGGAGGUUAAUGAUGAGGAGGAGGAAGAUGAGGGGAAUGGGUCGAGUGAGAGUGAUGUCGAAGAACAUGUGGAGGUGGAAAGGAGAUUGGACCAUGAUUUGAGUAGGUUUGAGAUGAUUUACCCGACUUAUGGAGGUGGGGAUUGUAGUUACAACAAUGUCUUGGAGAAUAGGGUGGAUGAUCAAGAUAC